GUCAUCCAAGAAAGCAUAUAGGAUAGUAUCAGAGGACAGAGCGGUGUCCUUAACUCAGUGUAACGGGCCACAUAAAGCUCCCUGGGGGAGCUAAGGCUUGACUCAGCUGAAAAUGUGGAAAGAGUGGGGAUUCUAGGGGUCAGCAAUAAUCGAAUUAACUAUCAUUAUCUCCAGUUUAGAGAUGAGGAAAUAAAGGCAUAGAACGGUUAAAUACAUCUCCCAAAGUGCAAAGUUAUCAAUUAACAGAGCCGAUAUUUGGUUGUAAUGCACACUGACUCCAAGGCAGGUCUCUUUAAUCAUUAACUUGAAUCAUCUCUCAUUUGCCAUAGGAAUCCAGAAAAGGCGGCAAUACUAGUGGACAAAUAGAAGAAAGAAAGGAAAUGGGAUAGAUCGGUGGUGAAGGCAAGUGCUAAGCCCAGAGAGAUUUAUUGAGGGGGGUGGUGUCUGGGUGGGGGAUGGGGACAAACCCCCAUGCACAGGACCUGUAGUAAAGUGUUAGGUCCUUGUAGAGAAUCUAUCAAUACUACAUGUUGGUUGAAUACUUGUUAUUUCAAAGUCAAACCAAAAGAGGUUUUUGGUAAAUCCUCUGAUAAUUACUAGAAAAGUGUCCGUGGACAAUGCAUGUAUCCUUUGUGAGCCUCCCUUUCUGUGCCUGUACAAGGGAGAUAGCAAUGUGUCUACCUUAUGGGGCUGUGAUGAGUAUUAUAUUGAGCGAAUAAAGCAUCAAGCAUAGAUCCUGGGACACAGUGCUGAUUCACGUUCUGUCUGCUUCCCUUUUGCAUCCCUUAGGUUUUCCCUCCUUUGCUGAGAACUUCUACCUGGUGUCCAUCCACUUCCUCUGCCACAGAGUGAGCAGCAGCCUGGGACUCAACCUCAUCCUGGUACAGAAGUGCACGGUCAAGCAUGAGAGACAGAAGUGUCAGGCAGACGAUGGUGAGACUGAGAAAGGAACUCAGAGCCGGGAGAAACAAGUCCUAUCUUCCGGCCAACUCACAGCCACGUGGUCUACCAGUGCAGUUGGCAUUAAGGGUUGAAUCGUAUCCCUGGCUCAAAUUCACGUGUUGAAAUCCUAACCUCUCAGUACCUCAGAAUAUAACUUGAUUUGGAGACCGGGUGUUUACAGAGGCAACCAAGAUAAAGCAAGGUCAUUCUGGUGGGCUCUAAUCAAAUAUGACUGUUGUGCUUCUUCUAAGAAGGGGAAAGUUGGACACAGACAUGUACAGACGGAAGACGAUGUGACCAGGUGAAGAUACUGGGAGAAUGCCAUUGAACAUGAAGACAACCAAGCCAAGGGGAGAGGCCUGGAACAGAGCCCUCCCUCAGAGCCCUCAGAAAGAACCAGCCGUCCCAACCAACACCUUGAUUUGGGACUUCCAGCCUCCAGGAGAUGAGACAAGAAAUUUCUGUUGGUUAAGCCACCCAGGCUGUGAUACUUGGUUACAGUAGCCCUAGCAAACGAAUACAGCUGGCCGCCUGGUGAACAUAAGAAAUGUCAAUUGUGAUGCGGGAAGGGGUACCCCUAAGAACACAGGAGAGUUUGAGGCCACUAUAUGGCUUUGAGGAAGGGAAUAGGGAAGAGGGGGCAAUGCCCAGGAGGAAAGACGUCCCACAAAGCCCUGCUGCCUUCCUGCCCCUGGGGCCUUUGCCCGCCCUACUACUAGGAAUAAAUCUACAAGGCUGCCUUUUAAUUUCUACUAUUGUGGAGAGUAUGACUUGGUGCCACUUUACUUAGUACUUGGAGCUUCUCUACAGCCCCACGGGUUGGGAGUCUCUGUGCUAUGACUGAUAUCCUCGCUCUAGAGAAAUUUUGUGCCAAAACUUGGAAUGAAAUUGGAUAGAGAAAUUGGUCUCUUCUGGCCCCCUUCCUGAUCGGCCCCAUCAGUCAAAUGCAGCAGACUGCAACGAUGCUAGAAGUUUUUCACUGAAGAGUCAGAGCACAGUAGCAAAAGUGGAUGACCAACCUGGAAGAAACUAACAGAAUCAAGAGCACUGCCUGGCUUUUCUUUCCUUACUUCAGUAAAUAUUUCAUAGAACAUCACUGAGCCCGGAAUUUCCUAGGUAAAGUGAGCAACUAAAUGAACAAUAAAAAUGGUUAUCACAUGCAUCUACUA